rnacentral:rRNA from 1 species
GACGAACGCUGGCGGCGUGCCUAAUACAUGCAAGUCGAACGAGAGCGCCCGGUGCUUGCACUGGUCAAUCUAGUGGCGAACGGGUGAGUAACACGUGGGUAACCUGCCCAUCAGAGGGGGAUAACAUCCGGAAACGGAUGCUAAAACCGCAUAGGUCUUCGAACCGCAUGGUUUGAAGAGGAAAAGAGGCGCAAGCUUCUGCUGAUGGAUGGACCCGCGGUGCAUUAGCUAGUUGGUGAGGUAACGGCUCACCAAGGCCGUGAUGCAUAGCCGACCUGAGAGGGUGAUCGGCCACAUUGGGACUGAGACGCGGCCCAAACUCCUACGGGAGGCAGCAGUAGGGAAUCUUCUGCAAUGGACGCAAGUCUGACGGAGCAACGCCGCGUGAGUGAAGAAGGUUUUCGGAUCGUAAAACUCUGUUGUUAGAGAAGAACAAGUGCUAGAGUAACUGUUAGCGCCUUGACGGUAUCUAACCAGAAAGCCACGGCUAACUACGUG